rnacentral:rRNA from 1 species
GACGAACGCUGGCGGCGCGCUUAACACAUGCAAGUCGAACGGUCCAGUACUCAACACUGAGUACUCAGCCAACACCUCAAAAGAAGAGUUAGCUAGCGUCAAGCACGCGAAAGCGAGCUUCAGGCGCUGAUAAGUAAGCUAACACAAGGCAAAAGCCGAGUAUUGAGUGUUGAGUACUGGAUAGUGGCGGACGGGUGAGUAACACGUGAACAACCUGUCCCUAAGCCCGGGAUAACAGCCCGAAAGGGAUGCUAAUACCGGAUGAGCUUAUAAAGGCGCAUGCCAUUAUAAGCAAAGGGUUUACCGCUUAGGGAGGGGUUCGCGGCCCAUCAGCUAGUUGGUGAGGUAAUGGCUCACCAAGGCAACGACGGGUAGCCGGCCUGAGAGGGUGGUCGGCCACACUGGGACUGAGACACGGCCCAGACUCCUACGGGAGGCAGCAGUGGGGAAUCUUCCGCAAUGGGCGAAAGCCUGACGGAGCGACGCCGCGUGGGUG